AUCUCAUCCGUUAGCCAUCAACAGUGCUGUUUAGAUCAGCUUUGUGUCCUCCAGUCCCAAGACUAAUGGCUCAGUAGGAAAGUCGGAGGGGUUCUGGAUUUUCUGGUAGGCCAGCAGUGACAGCCCCUAGGAUGAAGUUUCCUCGUGUGGUUCUCAGCGCGCCCAGAAAACCUUCAACAUAUACAGAACGCAUAUCUGAGGAGCUGCAGAUCCUGUUAGGUCCCGGAAGACGGGGAGGAAAGGAGGAGACGAGGGGGCCCGCGCUGCAACACCAGACAUUCCCUGUCACACCAGCGCUUUGAGUUAGGGAGGUCUGGUCUGGAAGCCCGAUGACGGAAGUCAGGCCAGAAGAAAUCCACAGUGCUUGCUCGCCCCUCCAGGGACUAAUAAAUUAGACAGCUGCAUUUUCCUCUGUGGCC